UGGCGCAGCAGACUAAAGUGCUGUUAAGUAGCACCAGCUGCCUGCAAUUACUGCAAGUUCAAAUCUCACCAGGCUCAAGGUUGACUCAGCCUUCCAUCCUUUCGAGGUAGGUAAAAUGAAGACCCGGAUUGUGGGGGCAAUAAGCUGACUUUGUAUAAAAAAGAACACCACUUGGGGGGGCCCGAAAGUUCUACUAAGCAGGUAUAUACAAAAGUAUGAAGGCUAUUGCUUAACGCAUUGUAAGCCGCCCUGAGUCUCCAGAGAAAGGACGGCAUAUAAAUCAAACAAACAAACAAACAAACAAAUAAAUAAAUAAAUAAAAAUGUUGAUUCUUAAAACAUCUACAAAAAUAAUUAAAAUGUAUGUUUCUGAAUGAUUCUUUAUAAUCAACAGAAUCAGCUAUUUUUAAAAUCAACAGGAUGGAAGUUGCAGAUUGGACAAUUACCUAAAAUUCUCAUUAUGGAAGCUUUUAAAUAAUGCUUCUCUGGGUUGCUAUUUCCCUUGCUAUGAACCCCAAUAACACCCAAUUAUGACUCUAUCUUAUCUAUUUUCCAUCCAUCCAAUCCAACCCUCCAUCCAGGAUUAUUGUUGCCAAGCAAUGCGGUCAUGUGACAUCUUGCUUUAUGACAUCAUUCAGUGACAGAAAUUCCAGUCUUAACUGCCUUCAUAAAUCAAGUGCUAGCUAUACUUAAAAUGAAAAGAGGGAUAAAUGAAGAUAAAUAUUUGGGAAGAAGAUGUUUGUGGUAUUACUGGCACUCACAAGAUUGAGUAGUCAUAAGUCAAGAACUACCUGUAAAAACAAACACUUAAUGGAUAGUUAGAAUGAUAAUUCCAUCACAGAUCUCUGCAAAGCAAGAAGGGAGUUGCAGGAAUAACAAUAAAUGAAUCAGAAUCUUCAACUUGAAAAUUCCUCUUCCCCAUGGAUAGACAUGUAUCUCCGAACUUUGUUUGCAUGCUUCUUACUCUGAAGGAAGAUAACAGGGGACAAGAAGACUAAGCACACCUAUGAGCUUUUAUACACAUAUCAACAAUUUCAACAGCUACUUCUAGUUUAAACCUCACCUGAUAAUGAGCAAGCUUCUGGGAUUCAGAGAUGAGCACUGCGCUACAUACUUUGCACUGGGUGUCAGUGAAGAUGUGGCUAUUUUCUUUGAUCAGUUGAUCCACUGUAAAAGGCAAGAAGAACAUUAAAUAUGAAUGUGAACAUGUGUAAAUAA